rnacentral:rRNA from 1 species
AGUGAACGCUGGCGGUAGGCCUAACACAUGCAAGUCGAACGGCAGCACAGAGGAGCUUGCUCCUUGGGUGGCGAGUGGCGGACGGGUGAGGAAUACAUCGGAAUCUACUCUGUCGUGGGGGAUAACGUAGGGAAACUUACGCUAAUACCGCAUACGACCUACGGGUGAAAGCAGGGGACCUUCGGGCCUUGCGCGAUUGAAUGAGCCGAUGUCGGAUUAGCUAGUUGGCGGGGUAAAGGCCCACCAAGGCGACGAUCCGUAGCUGGUCUGAGAGGAUGAGCAGACACACUGGAACUGAGACACGGUCCAGACUCCUACGGGAGGCAGCAGUGGGGAAUAUUGGACAAUGGGCGCAAGCCUGAUCCAGCCAUACCGCGUGGGUGAAGAAGGCCUUCGGGUUGUAAAGCCCUUUUGUUGGGAAAGAAAUCCAGCUGGCUAAUACCCGGUUGGGAUGGCGGUACCCAAAGAAUAAGCACCGGCUAACUUCGUGCCAGCCGCCGCAGUAA